ACCCAUACAAAAGGUCAGCGAGCACUGUCACAUCCAGUAAAUGUUGAAGCAAUGAUAGGUUUAAAAUAUAAACCAAAAGAAGUUUACUGAACGUGACGGGGAGACUAUUGAUCCACAGUUGGUUGUUAGCAACGUACUGAAGCUAGGUUUCUACCCGCUCUCGUAUUUAAGGCAAAUGGAUGUUGCGAUUACGAAACCAAGAGAAAAGACCAUUAGCAGAAAUAUAGAUUGAACAGCCCGGAACUUAGGAGUAGGACGGAUUUAAAGCGGAUCUGAGAGGGUAAAAGGUGACAUGGAUACAGCAGGGGAAUUAUUUUGUACCCAAGACAUCCGAUCGACAAACUGGUUUUUAAAAUCAGCUUUAGGUGGGACUGGUAAGCAUGUCCUUGAAAUGCUGACGCAGGUUCGCAAACAGGUCGUUGGUGAAAAGGAGCAAAAUAGAAAAACAACUAUAUUAUUAUUGACGUCAGA